AACCUCUCCGGUGUCUUAAUGGUUAGAACGUCCGCCUCGGAUGCGAGAGGUCGCGGGUUCGAACCCCAGCCGAGUCA